UCAUCUCUUUGCGACGUUGUUCAUAUCCACUUUCAAAACCAUCAAAGUUACCCCGAUAGAAGUGCAGUUUCAUGUCAUGGAGAUGAAUAAUCUCAUUGCAAACAGUGUUCAAAAAGUCUCGAUCAUGUGAAACAACAACCAGAGUUUUCUUCCAUCUGCACAGGUACUCCUCUAACCAUAGUACAGCCCGAAGGUCAAGAUGAUUAGUGGGUUCAUCCAACAGCAAUAGAGUAGGCUGAACAAAAAGAGCCCGUGCUAGAGAAAUUCUCAUCCUCCAACCACCACUAAAAGACCGGGUAGCACGACCCUGCAUUUCCUUAGUGAAACCCAGUCCAGCAAGAAUUUUCGAUGCUUGGGCCUCAGCAGCAUCUGAUCCCAUCAGCUGCAACUUUUCGUACAGUUCAGAUAGUUUUUCUCCAACAUCAUCAUCCCCAUCAGCAUCAUCUUCAUUCUCACCAACAGAUGCAGCAGCAUUCUGUAAAGAUUCAGCCUCUUCUCGGAGCUUGAUGAGUUCCUCGUUAGCUGAAACAACAGCUUCAAGGGCUGUCCUAUCAUCACCAACUAUCUCUUGUUCAACCAAGAGUACAUCAAUGUUUUUUGGUACUGGAAUCUUCCUCCAAGCAAGGAGCUUUAGUAGGGUGGACUUUCCCUUUCCAUUGGGACCAACUAAACCAUAUCUCUUCCCAUGAGAUAUCUUAACUGAUGUGUUCUUUAAAAGUUCUUUUCCACGAGCUGCUACAGAGAAAUUCUCUAUAGUUAUAUCCUUGACAUUUGCAUCAGCGUCAUCCUCACCUUCAAGAACAGACGCCCUGCUACCGAUAACAACAGUAAAAGCAUCAUGAUCAUCUCUAAGUGCCUCCUUUUUGGCCACCUCAGCUGCCUGAAAAGCAAGCACGUCCUUCUUUUCGCGUUUCUUCAGCUCUUUAUGACUUAUGGAGGUAUCAAGUGGACCUGUUUCAUUCCUUCUAUGCCUUCUAAGUUCUUCCUCUUCUUCAGGGAGAUGCUCAUCCUCCUCGUCAUCAGAGGGAGGAAGGUCGAUACCAUCAGUGUAAGCUGACGCUUUUGGAGCUGCUUUAGGCUUGGGCUUACUAGCACCAGUGCCUGAAGAUCCUUUGUUGGGCUUCUCAGGCUUCUGGUCCAUGCUGGCAAGCAUGGCAGAGACAGAAAGCUUCUCCUUUUUCCCUUCCUUGGAGCCAUCUUUGCUGCUUCCCUUAGCCUUCCCGCUAAAACCAGCCUCAUCUGUUUUUUUCUUCCCCAUUGUAUUUACAAUCUGUUGUAACCAAAGAGAGUGAUUAGAAAAUGUGAAUAAAUAGAUCGCCCAUACACCAGUCAGCUCAGCCAACUGACUAAGAAACAAACACAUCCAGAAUAGUAAUGAAGAAGCUUUGCACAAAAGACAGCACAUUAUUACAGAAAUUAGCAAGAAAUUGGAACAGUAGCAUAAAUAGAAAAGAAAGAAGCAUAAAAUCACAUUGAAAGAAGAAAGAGACAGAAUAGCAAUAAGAAAAUUUAUCACUGGGUCGUAUUUUAGUGAACCAGAAAAACAAAAAGCUUAAGGUUAUCACAGACUCAAACACCGGAACAUAUGUUAUAGGAAAAGAGAGAGCAACACAAUGACAUAUCUAAUCAUUCCAAAAGCCAAAGGAUUGUUUGGACACCAUAGUAGCAAAACCAAUUAAUUAAAUACUUUAGGAUACAUUUGUUUCCCACAGAUUUGCACAUUACGUUAACCAACAAAGAAGACCAGAAGGUUCUGGUAUAAUAUUUCAAUUAUAGCCCUACCACAUUCUCCUUAGUACAUAAAUAAAACAAAUGUUGAGACCAUUACAAAUAUUACUUUUGUUUACUCCGAGUUGAAUCUCAGCUAUAUUAAGUCCAAAGGAAUCUCAAAGAUAAUGUACGCUUUUUAUCCUGAGAAGAAGAACCAAGGCUUCUUCUAGCUUCAUCCAAGAUUGAUUCAACCAAUCCACUAUGCCCACAAUCCCAAACUAGAUGGGAUAGGCUAUAUAAAUCUUCUUUAUCCAUUCCACUUCAAUAUAUCCACAUACAUUCAUAGUAAACUACUUUUAUAUAGUUGUGUACUUUGUAUCGAUCAAUUUGAAAUUCUUGAAAGCAUUUUCAUCCCAAUUGGAAUCAAUAAAUAUGCGCGCGCACACACAGACACACAAAANNNNNNNNNNNNNNNNNNNNNNNNNAGAAGUUUAUCCAUACCGGGUAUAAUAAGCUUAUCUUUUCAGUACCCAGUUAUGGAUAAACAUUACCCCGGUAGAAGAUUAUCCAUACCGGGUAUAAUAAGUUUAUCCUUUCAGUACCCAAUUAUGGAUAAACAUUACCCCCGGUAGAAGAUUAUCCAUACCGGAUAUAAUAAGUUUAUCCAUUCAGUACUCCGUUAUGGAUAAAUAUUGCUCUCAGUAGAAGAUUAUCCAUAUCUGGUACAGUAGCAGCUUACACAACAGCUUGCGUAGCAACUUACACAGCAGCUUGUAGCAGCUUACACAACAGCUUGUAGUAGCAGCUUACACAGCAGCUUGUAGCAGCUUACACAGCAGCUUGUAGCAGCUUACACAACAACUUGUAGUAGCAGCUUCCUUUCUUCUAUAAAUAGAAGAGAUUUCAGUUCAUUAUGUACAUCAGUUUGAGUUCGAAUAAUAUAUCAGUUUCUCUUUAUACUUGUCUUUACUUUACAGUCUUUAUUUUAUAACAUUUUGGACUUUUUGGCCAUAAAGAAAUAAGAGAUGUUUUGAAGGACAAAGAAGACAUAUAUCUGUAGGAUUAAGAACAAAUGUCCACAUAAUUUGUAUUUCUGGUGUAAGAGUACUAUUUUGGAGAAUGUAGAUCAGUAUUUGGACUUUAUUGAGAUGCUCGGAAAGUUGUAACUGGAUAUUUGAGCCUUCUUUCAUGUACUUUUGUGUACCAUCUUGGUACUUUAUCUAAUGAAACCUUUACCUUAUAAAAAAAAAAUGGAGUACGCAAAUCUUAUAUUGCAGAUUUUAGAAAAACAGUAGGUAAAAACAAAGAUCAUAUGUUCAUAUUCGAGUAAUUCCAGUAUCAUAUCGUUCAUGUUACAAAACUAGAAAGUGAGAUUAUAAAACCUGUCCUCGGAUCGAUAGAAACAAAACAGCAUACAUGUUAAUGCAAGUUGAAGAUGCAAAUCGAGGCAAAUCUGACAGACCUAAGACCAAGAGGAAAAACAGAUUGAAUAAGAAGCAAAAAUCAAUGUUCCUGACAUUAUUGCCUGUGAGGCAAACCAUAACAAGAAAUAGAUAGAAUAUGACACAGUACAUAUAACUUAGUCGCUAUGUUCUUCUAUAUCCGCAACAGAAGAUUACACUCCCUCAAUAUGAAGUCGUAAAGAAAAGGUUCAAAAAAAUGAACAAAGAACUCAAGAUAUCACAGUAGAAUGAACCGGUUGCAACAUCAAUCAUCAACCUCUUCCCUGAUUUCCCUUACAAGUUCUUCCUUGUACUCAUCAAAUGUACCAGGGAACUUUUCAACAGUUCCAUUCUCAACUACCCAAAUUUCACUUCUUUCUUCAUCGUCACAAACCCUCGAUAUGAGCCUAGAGUCGUGACUGACUAACACAACUCCACCUGUGAAUUCAUCAAGUGCAUCUGCCAAAGCAUCAAUACUCUGCAUAUCCAAAUGGUUUGUUGGCUCAUCUAAUAGCAAGAUGUGAGGCUUCGACAUGGAAAUAGAUGUGAACACAACUCUAGCUUUUUGUCCUCCAGACAACUUUAAAAUGGGGGUUAGAUGGUUAUGGCUGGGAAGUCCAAAUUUUCCGAGCUUUGCACGGACAGCUUCUUGCUUACUAGGUCCCUCCUGAUCUGGAUGAAGACGAAGAAGGUACUGGACAGGUGUUUCAUCCAUUGUGAGAAGAUCAACAAAAUGCUGCGAGUACCGUCCGAUCCUCAACUUUUGACUCCUGCGGACUUCACCCUCUGAAGGAACUAAAUCACCUGCGAGGAGGUUGAGCAAAGUCGAUUUCCCUGCUCCAUUGGGCCCAACAAUAGCGACUCGGGUCCCCAUAUCAAUUCCAACAUCAACAUCAGAGAGCCUAAAGUCUGGUCGAUUAGGGUAACUGAAGCUGACCUCAAUUAGCUGAAGAAGUGGAGGUGUCAGUUCAGUAGGCUCGGGGAAGUGGAACUCAACGGUGUAGUCCCUCCACUUCUGAGGGGCUUCAGGUGGAGUUUCAUCUUCAUCAACCCUAUCCUUGCCCUUUUUCUUUGAUUCUUUGGCAGCUACAAAUUUGGCUCGGUCUUUUACCUUCUCCUGUUGUGCUCGAUUUCCAGAUCUCUUGGCAGCUUUUAACUGCUUAUCAUAAAUCUCAAACUUCUUGUUCAUCUCUUUACGACGUUGUUCAUAUCCACUUUCAAAACCAUCAAAGUUACCCCGAUAGAAGUGCAGUUUCAUGUCAUGGAGAUGAAUAAUCUCAUUGCAAACAGUGUUCAGAAAGUCUCGAUCAUGUGAAACAACAACCAGAGUUUUCUUCCAUCUGCACAGGUACUCCUCUAACCAUAGUACAGCCCGAAGAUCAAGAUGAUUAGUAGGUUCAUCCAACAGCAAUAGCGUAGGCUGAACAAAUAGAGCCCGUGCUAGAGAAAUUCUCAUUCUCCAACCACCACUAAAAGACCGGGUAGCACGAACCUGCA
rnacentral:lncRNA from 1 species